GAUGAACGCUGGCGGCGUGCCUAAUACAUGCAAGUCGAGCGACCAGACGAGGAGCUUGUUCUCUCGACGUUAGCGGCGGGCGGGCGAGUAACACGUACGUCACCAUCUUAUAUGUCUGGGAUGAUUACGGGAAACCGGUGCCACUACUGGCGAAUAUUACGAACCGCUGGGUUCGAUAGAUAAUGAUGGCUUUGGUGUUUGAUUUAGACGGUCCGGCGCCGUAUUAGCUAGUUGGUAAGGUCACGGCUUACCAAGGCAACGAUACGUAGCUGAUCUGAGAGGAUGAUCGGCCACACUGGAACUGAGACACGGUCCAGACUCCUACGGGAGGCAGCAGUGGGGAAUAUUGGACAAUGGGCGAAAGCCUGACGCAGCAAUACCGCGUGGGUGAAGAAGGUCUUCGGGUUGUAAAGCUCUUUUGUUAGGAAAGAAAAGAAGUAGAAUUAUCUGUGGCCGUUUUGACGGUACCUAAUGAAAAAGCACCGGCUAACUUCGUG
rnacentral:rRNA from 1 species